rnacentral:rRNA from 1 species
UACGAAGGGUGCAAGCGUUACUCGGAAUUACUGGGCGUAAAGCGUGCGUAGGUGGUUUGUUAAGUCUGCUGUGAAAGCCCCGGGCUCAACCUGGGAAUGGCAGUGGAUACUGGCAAGCUAGAGUGCGGUAGAGGGGUGUGGAAUUCCCGGUGUAGCGGUGAAAUGCGUAGAGAUCGGGAGGAACACCAGUGGCGAAGGCGGCACCCUGGACCAGCACUGACACUGAGGCACGAAAGCGUGGGAAGCAAACAGG